CCGGCGCACGGGUGCGUAACGCGUAUGCAAUCUACCUUUUGCAGAGGGAUAGCCCAGAGAAAUUUGGAUUAAUACCUCAUAGUAUAUAGAGUUGGCAUCAACACUAUAUUAAAGUCACAACGGCAAAAGAUGAGCAUGCGUCCCAUUAGCUAGUUGGUAAGGUAACGGCUUACCAAGGCUACGAUGGGUAGGGGUCCUGAGAGGGAGAUCCCCCACACUGGUACUGAGACACGGACCAGACUCCUACGGGAGGCAGCAGUGAGGAAUAUUGGACAAUGGGCGCAAGCCUGAUCCAGCCAUGCCGCGUGCAGGAUGACGGUCCUAUGGAUUGUAAACUGCUUUUGCACAGGAAGAAACAACGCUACGUGUAGCGUCUUGACGGUACUGUGAGAAUAAGGAUCGGCUAACUCCGUGCCAGCAGCCGCGGUAAUACGGAGGAUCCAAGCGUUAUCCGGAAUCAUUGGGUUUAAAGGGUCCGUAGGCGGUUUAGUAAGUCAGUGGUGAAAGCCCAUCGCUCAACGGUGGAACGGCCAUUGAUACUGCUAGACUUGAAUUAUUAGGAAGUAACUAGAAUAUGUAGUGUAGCGGUGAAAUGCUUAGAGAUUACAUGGAAUACCAAUUGCGAAGGCAGGUUACUACUAAUGGAUUGACGCUGAUGGACGAAAGCGUGGGUAGCGAACAGGAUUAGAUACCCUGGUAGUCCACGCCGUAAACGAUGGAUACUAGCUGUUGGGAGCGAUCUCAGUGGCUAAGCGAAAGUGA
rnacentral:rRNA from 1 species